GGGUUAGUAGCAUAGCGGCUAAUGCACCUGGCUUUUAACCAGUAUAUCGUGAGUUCGAGUCUCACCUAACCCA
rnacentral:tRNA from 2 species